CACGGGCCACCACCGGCAUGCUCCUUUGUUCUGCUUUCCCUCCCGGCAUCUCACUGGCGAAAGCAGCGGGCUCGGCAAGAGCGGAGCCGAUGAAGAAUGCCCCCCAGCCCCCAUCCCCCCCGCGCCGCAGUGCUAAAUAACUGAACGCCAUUAGGCAGAGAACCCUCCCUUGCUUGGGAGUGUUGGAGAAGAAGUGGAGGUCUGGCGUCCUGGACUGCGCGGGUCCAGGGGAUGAUGGAUGAGGAGCUGGAGAGAGCAGAAUGGUACAGAAUCACAGAAAUCACAGAAUCAGUUCGGUUGGAAAAGGUCUCUGAGAUCAUCAAGUCCUGUCUUUGGCCGAACACCACCACCGUGUGAACGUGACCGUGACACAAGUGCCAUGUCCAGUCUUUUCUCAAACGCCUCCGGGGACCGUCACUCCACAGCAGCAGCAGCUCCUCACACGCCUUCCUUUGAAGCAGUCCCAGCAGCCUGAUUUCUGUGCACGUUGCAAAGCCCUCCCUUUCAGCACAUGAUGGAAUAAAUUUAGAUUCCUUGUGUUA